GACGAACGCUGGCGGCGUGCCUAAUACAUGCAAGUAGAACGCUGAAGGAGGAGCUUGCUCUUCUGGAUGAGUUGCGAACGGGUGAGUAACGCGUAGGUAACCUGCCUGGUAGCGGGGGAUAACUAUUGGAAACGAUAGCUAAUACCGCAUAAUAGUAGAUGUUGCAUGAUAUUUACUUAAAAGGUGCAAUUGCACCACUACCAGAUGGACCUGCGUUGUAUUAGCUAGUUGGUGGGGUAACGGCUCACCAAGGCGACGAUACAUAGCCGACCUGAGAGGGGGAUCGGCCACACUGGGACUGAGACACGGCCCAGACUCCUACGGGAGGCAGCAGUAGGGAAUCUUCGGCAAUGGACGAAAGUCUGACCGAGCAACGCCGCGUGAGUGAAGAAGGUUUUCGGAUCGUAAAGCUCUGUUGUAAGAGAAGAACGAGUGUGAGAGUGGAAAGUUCACACUGUGACGGUAUCUUACCAGAAAGGGACGGCUAACUACGUG
rnacentral:rRNA from 1 species